GAAGCGGCAACAGCUCAAAUUUGAAAUCUGGCGCAAGCCCGAGUUGUAAUUUGUAGAGGAUGCUUCAGGGCAGCGGCCGGUCUAAGUUCCUUGGAACAGGACGUCAUAGAGGGUGAGAAUCCCGUAUGCGACCGGUUGGCACCCGUCACGUAGCUCCUUCGACGAGUCGAGUUGUUUGGGAAUGCAGCUCUAAAUGGGAGGUAAAUUUCUUCUAAAGCUAAAUACCGGCCAGAGACCGAUAGCGCACAAGUAGAGUGAUCGAAAGAUGAAAAGCACUUUGGAAAGAGAGUUAAAAAGCACGUGAAAUUGUUGAAAGGGAAGCGCAUGCAACCAGACUUGUCGGCGGUGUUCCGCCGGUCUUCUGACCGGUCUAUUCGCCGCCGGCAGGCCAGCAUCAUCUGGGUGCGCCGGAUAAAGGCGUGGGGAAUGUAGCUCCUCGGAGUGUUAUAGCCCCGCGCACAAUACGGCGCCGCCCGGGUGAGGUCCGCGCUUCGGCUAGGAUGCUGGCGUAAUGGUUGUCUGCGGCCCGUCUUGAAACACGGACCAAGGAGUCUAACAUCUAUGCGAGUGUUCGGGUGUCAAACCCCUACGCGUAAUGAAAGUGAACGGAGGUGGGAAGCGCAAGCUGCACCAUCGACCGAUCCUGAUGUCUUCGGAUGGAUUUGAGUAAGAGCAUAGCUGUUGGGACCCGAAAGAUGGUGAACUAUGCCUGAAUAGGGUGAAGCCAGAGGAAACUCUGGUGGA
rnacentral:rRNA from 1 species